GAUGAGCCAUAACCUGUUCCUCUUCGCAUUCUUUUUUACCUUCCCAUGAAUGGGGGGCUUUUCGUCAUAUGAAAAAAAGUGCGAAGACGAAUAACAAAGCCCCCUGAUACUGGGGGCUUUUUUUAU
rfam:Serratia sp. DD3 SRDD_contig000006, whole genome shotgun sequence.